rnacentral:rRNA from 1 species
AUGUCUCAAAACUCUGAUCACAUACAUGGAGGUAAAUGCUUAGUUUCUUGGCGAAGAGUUUGCCGUCCCAAACAACUCGGAGGGCUUGGAAUACUAGACCUCAAUAGGCAGGGGCUAGCCCUUAGACUACGCUGGGAAUGGCUGAAGCGAACUGACCAGGGAAGGCCAUGGUAG